rnacentral:rRNA from 1 species
UACAGAGGUCUCAAGCGUUGUUCGGAUUCAUUGGGCGUAAAGGGCGCGUAGGCGGCGGGGUAAGUCUGGUGUGAAAUCUAGGAGCUCAACUCCUAAACUGCACUGGAUACUGCUCUGCUAGAGGACUGGAGAGGAGACUGGAAUUCACGGUGUAGCAGUGAAAUGCGUAGAUAUCGUGAGGAAGACCAGUGGCGAAGGCGGGUCUCUGGACAGUUCCUGGACGCUGAGGCGCGAAGGCCAGGGGA